GGAGCUUCACUGUAGCAAUACAGUGGAGCUUCUAGUGGCGACGGGUGAGUAACACGUGGGCAACCUGCCCUUGAGUUCGGGAUACCCUCUCGAAAGGGAGGCUAAUACCGGAUACGUUCCUCGGGUCGCGAGACCUGGGGAGGAAAGGUAGCGAAAGCUGCCGCUCUUGGAGGGGCUCGCGGCCUAUCAGCUAGUUGGUGAGGUCACGGCUCACCAAGGCUAUGACGGGUAGCUGGUCUGAGAGGACGACCAGCCACACGGGAACUGAGACACGGUCCCGACUCCUACGGGAGGCAGCAGUGGGGAAUUUUCCGCAAUGGGCGAAAGCCUGACGGAGUGACGCCGCGUGGGGGAUGAGGGCCUUCGGGUUGUAAACCCCUGUCAGAGGGAAAGAAGGGCCGGUGCGUGAAUAGCGCAUCGGUCUGACGGUACCUUCAGAGGAAGCCCCGGCCAACUCUGUGCCAGCAGCCGCGGUAAGACAGAGGGGGCAAGCGUUGCUCGGAAUCACUGGGCGUAAAGGGCGCGUAGGCGGGAUGACAAGUCGGUCGUGAAAUCCCUGGGCUCAACUCAGGGGGGUCGGCCGAUACUGCCAUUCUUGAGGGAUGCAGAGGAGACUGGAAUUCCCGGUGUAGCGGUGAAAUGUGUAGAGAUCGGGAGGAACACCGGUGGCGAAGGCGGGUCUCUGGGCAUUCCCUGACGCUGAGGCGCGAAAGCGUGGGGAGCAAACGGGAUUAGAUACCCCGGUAGUCCACGCGGUAAACGAUGACGACU
rnacentral:rRNA from 1 species